rnacentral:rRNA from 1 species
UACGUAGGGUGCGAGCGUUAAUCGGAAUUACUGGGCGUAAAGCGUGCGCAGGCGGCUUCGCAAGUCAGACGUGAAAUCCCCGGGCUUAACCUGGGAAUGGCGUUUGAAACUACGGAGCUGGAGUGUGGCAGAGGGAGGUAGAAUUCUACGUGUAGCGGUGAAAUGCGUAGAUAUGUGGAGGAAUACCGAUGGCGAAGGCAGCCUCCUGGGCCAACACUGACGCUCAUGCACGAAAGCGUGGGGAGCAAACAGG